rnacentral:tRNA from 1 species
CAAAGUGUAGCACAGUUUGGUUAGCGCAUUUAUUUUGGGUAUAGAGGGCCAUAGGUUUGAAUCCUGUCACCUUGA